UACGAAGGGUGCAAACGUUGCUCGGAAUUAUUGGGCGUAAAGCGCACGUAGGCGGCUUUGCAAGUCCCAUGUGGAAUCCCACGGCUUAACCGUGGAAGUGCAUGGGAAACUGCAGAGCUUGAGUACUUAAGAGGAUCGCGGAAUUCCCGGUGUAGAGGUGAAAUUCGUAGAUAUCGGGAGGAACACCAGAGGCGAAGGCGGUUACCUGGACAGUUACUGACACUCAGGCACGAAAGCAUGGGGAGCAAAAGGG
rnacentral:rRNA from 1 species